GAUCACAGGCGAAGAAGGACGUAAUAGCUUGCGAAAAGCUGCGGGGAGUUGGCAAAUGAGCAUUGAUCCGCAGAUAUCCGAAUGGGGAAACCCACCUCUUUUUAGGAGGUAUCCUUAUCUGAAUACAUAGGGUGAGGAGGCGAACCGAGUGAACUGAAACAUCUAAGUAACUCGAGGAGAAGAAAUCAACCGAGAUUCUGAAAGUAGUGGCGAACGAAAUUGGAUGAGCCGCAACGAGAUAGUAAUUGUAGUAGUCGAACUUACUGGGAAGUAAGACCGUAGAGGGUGAUAGUCCUGUAGACGAAACUAUAGUUAUGGUACUAGGCGUUGCAACAAGUAGGGCGGGACACGUGUAAUCCUGUUCGAAGAUGGGGGGACCAUCCUCCAAGGCUAAAUACUCGUGAUCGACCGAUAGUGAACCAGUACCGUGAGGGAAAGGCGAAAAGAACCCCGGGAGGGGAGUGAAAUAGAACCUGAAACCGUGUGCAUACAAACAGUCGGAGCCCUAGACUUAAGGGUCCUGCAAUUUAGGGGUUCUUUGUGAUGCCUUAAGGCAUCACUAAAGAUAUUCCCAAGUAAAUAGAAUCGAUAUAUUUGAUAAGGAAAAUAAAAGAAGUGAGAAAUGCCUUAAGGCAUCACUAAAGAUAUUCCCAAGUAAAUAGAAUCGAUAUAUUUGAUAAGGAAACUAAAAGAAGUGAGGAAUGCCUUAAGGCAUCACUAAAGAUAUUUCUAAGUAAAUAGCAAGCGAUGUAAUUAACAAAUUUAGUAGGGUCUUUAAGUCUAGGGUGACGGCGUACCUUUUGUAUAAUGGGUCAGCGACUUACAUUCAGUGGCAAGCUUAACCGAAUAGGGUAGGCGUAGCGAAAGCGAGUCCGAAUAGGGCGUCAAUAGUCGCUGGGUGUAGACCCGAAACCAGAUGAUCUAUCCAUGGCCAGGUUGAAGGUGCCGUAACAGGUACUGGAGGACCCAACCCACUAAUGUUGAAAAAUUAGGGGAUGAGCUGUGGAUAGGGGUGAAAGGCUAAACAAAUCUGGAAAUAGCUGGUUCUCUCCGAAAACUAUUUAGGUAGUGCCUCAUGAAUAACUGUUGGGGGUAGAGCACUGUUAUGGCUAGGGGGUCAUGGCGACUUACCAAACCAUGGCAAACUCCGAAUACUGACAAGUUCGAUCAUGGGAGACAGAGCACUGGGUGCUAACGUCCAGACUCAAGAGGGAAACAACCCAGACCGCCAGCUAAGGUCCCUAAAAUUGGCUAAGUGGGAAACGAAGUGGGAAGGCAUAGACAGUCAGGAGGUUGGCUUAGAAGCAGCCACCCUUUAAAGAAAGCGUAAUAGCUCACUGAUCGAGUCGUCCUGCGCGGAAGAUGUAACGGGGCUAAGCCAGUUACCGAAGCUGCGGAUGC
rnacentral:rRNA from 1 species